GGAUGUGAGGGUCAUCUGGCUGCGAUAUCUGUCACCCCACUGAUCACCAAGGUUGAUUCAGCUGAUCUGGCUGGUCAGCAGGUGCCGCUUCCUCCCACAGCACUCCACGUGCACCCCUUCCGGAGCUGCGCUCUCAGCGGAAGAGGACGACCACCGCCCAUAGAGGAGGACUGUUCCUUGGUCAAGGGUAUAUGAGUAACUGCGCUCCCCUGCCAAAACCGCCAAACAAGCUCCUAAAGGCUAAUCAGAUGAGAACCUAUUAGCUACCUCGCAGUCAGUGAUUUCCAUGCCUUGAGCUAU
rnacentral:snRNA from 1 species